GUGGGAUAUUUUUAUAAUUUGGAUGCUAUUAAAAGUCUAUAUUGACUUUGAGCUCCCUUAAAUUAGAAACAUAGAAACAUAGAAUGUGACGGCAGAACCAUUCGGCCCAUCUAGUCUGCCCAAUUUUCUAAAUACUUUCAUUAGUCCCUAGCCUUAUCUUAUAGUUAGGAUAGCCUUAUGCCUAUCCCACCCAUGCUUAAACUCCUUUACUGUGUUAAUUCCCAGCCAAGUCCUACUUGAACACCACAUAAGCUUUCAAGUCUAUUUAAGUAAAUGACAAUGCAAUCUGGAUUCAGCUUUAUGUAUAGUAACCUAGAAAUGGUAAAAAGGUGAUUUAUUCCUUAAACAAACUUAAUUGUGGGAGCUGACACGUAAUAUAUUUUGCAGCUUUGCGGUCACUUCACUAUUUAGUGAAUAAGUUACUGCUUAAUAUUGUAAUAUACUAAUUAGCUUACAGAAGACAAAACAUAAAAGAAAUCACAUUAUGUUAUCAGAAAAUUUGGCAGAUGUGAAUAUACAAAACACUGCAGACUUUUAAAACCGGUAGAUGUGACAACUGUAAAACCUAUGUAGG